UACGAAGGGGGCUAGCGUUGUUCGGAAUCACUGGGCGUAAAGCGCACGUAGGCGGAUUUUAAGUCAGGGGUGAAAUCCCGAGGCUCAACCUCGGAACUGCCUUUGAUACUGGAGAUCUUGAGUCCGGAAGAGGUAAGUGGAACUGCGAGUGUAGAGGUGAAAUUCGUAGAUAUUCGCAAGAACACCAGUGGCGAAGGCGGCUUACUGGUCCGGAACUGACGCUGAGGUGCGAAAGCGGUGGGGAGCAAACAGG
rnacentral:rRNA from 1 species